AAUCGGUUUUUGACCUGUAGUAAGCCAACCCUUGUGAGGCUGUUUGUUGCAAGGAUAAAUGGCACAGCACAUGUGUAGAGCUUAAUGCAUAUGGUAGCGACUACCCACCAAGUGGAGCCAGUAACCUUGGGCCACCUUGUCAAGCAGCAAUAGAUGAAGGUUCUGAUUGCUAGAGUUCUCUUGCUCAUUCCCAAGUGAUCAUAAAGUCUCCUCUGCACUUUGCUGGCAGCAUGUGGCAGAGGUAGAUCAGGAUUAGCUUGGGAUGCCCAGGCAGAGAGGAACUCAGAGGAAGCCACCCUAAUCCCCAGGACGUUAAAGCCCUGAAUGGUAUGGAAAGCAGUGGGACAUUGGCCUAAUUCCAGGAUGGGUCACUGAAGUUAGCUGAGGUGAGAACGGAGGCAAGUCUGAACCUGGCCUCAGUUUCUUGCAGGAAGAAUGGGUGGAGCAGUGAGGAUGGCACAGACCAUGUACUUGGAGACCAGGUAGAAACAUGGAUGCCUUGGUGAAUUUCAGGGCUAAACGAUGGAAUCGUACACCCCUGUGAAGGAAGCCACAAGAGGGUGAAUACCUGAAGACCUAACAUUUCCCCCACAGGGCAGUGCCAUGACGAGCUUGCCCUCCUGGGUCAAUCUUGGGCAGAUCAGGCAGAGCUCGAGAGGUUGAAUCAACCAAGUUUCAACUGGAAAUUCCUUAUCAGACCUGGAAUGAGCAAGAUGAAGUUUUCUGCCACCAGAUAGAAUGUGGGGAGACACCAAGUGCAAUGCCUGUUGAAGAAAUAGGGCUGCACAGAUUGUUUUGCACGCUGGAGCUUGUAGAUUGGAAAUACACUCAUGCGUUGGUAAGCUGAAGUGGAUUGUGGUUUAAAAACCUUUCUUAUUUUAGAGACACGGUCUUGCUCUGUCCGGGCUGCAGCACACUGGUGCCAUCGUGGCUCAUUGCAGCCUCGACUUCCUGGGCUCAAGUGAUCCUCCUACCUCCUGAGUAGCUUAGGCUACAGGUACUGACCACCAUGCCCAACUAAUUUUCUUAAUUUUAAAUUUUUUAUAGAGAGAGGGUCUCGGUACAUUGCUCAGGCUUGUUUCCUGGCCUCGAGCAAUCCUCCUGCCUUAGCCUCCCAAAGUGCUGGGAUCACAGAAAAGAAAACUGUGAAUAUCAGGAAACUCUGCUCCCAGAGCAAGCAAUCGGUCACCAUACUCAGCCACAAAAUGCUUAUCAAAUGACGAUUCUGAGCCUGGCCUCAGGAUCUGCAAUGCUUUUACCUCCCAAAUCCUGAUACUAGGUUGGCACAAAAGUUAUUUCCAUUAAAAGGCAAUUACUUUCUCACAAGCCUAAUAAUAAGCUGUCCCUCCACCGCCACUGCACUGAUCCCCUUCCCUACCCUCUUACCAGGUCCUUCCACCUUAGGACGACUCCAACCCGCCAAGCGCCCUCCACCUCAGUGCCCCUGCCUGUGCUUUUCCCCAGGGCUCGCCCAUCUUGGCAUUCACCCCUGCCAUCCAUGGCUCACUUAUUCAUGACAUCCACCCUGGUUACACGGGACUCACUUGGCCACUUUAUGUAUACAGCCUCGGUGCAGGAUGCAUUUCUAUGCAUUUCGUGUUCACCAUCUUCCUCCUCCUUUCUCUGUCAUGAGUCCCAUGGCAGCAAGGACACCGUUCUACUCCCCGUGAUCGCCUCGUGAUACAUCACAGCACUGACUCGUAGAAAGUGCACAGCAAAUGUUUGCGGAGUGAAGAAUGACUGGGUGAUUGCGCCAGGAGCCGAGUGCCCCGACAGUCACACUUUUCUUUCCUUCCACAAGUCAGGUUGGUAUUCAUUUUUACUCAAGAAGGGAGUAGGCCUCUCUGCAUAGCUGGAGAGGAGGACAGACGCAUCCUUUGAAGCUAUCAGCCUUUCCAGAAGGGUUGAGCCCAUUCCAAGAGAGAAGCGAGAUGCAGAGCUCAUUGGAGACCUUCCAGGAAAGACACGCUCCAAGGUCCACUCCUAAAACUUUGCAUUUUCAAAAUAUCACAGACGACAGAAACUGGAUUUGCUCCAAAGCUUGCUAUUGAAUUUUAUGCCUGCUGAGCGCUACUAAACACAGAAUGAAGAGGCUGAAUUAACUAUGCAAAAAGGCUUUCUCUACUCAGCAUCCAACUCAUUCAUCCAUUUGUCCAUCCAUCAAGCAUUCACCAGGCACCAGAUUUGUGCCAGGCACAGUGGGAGAGGUGCAGAAGCGCAUCAUUGUGGUCCAUGGUGGGCCCCAGACUGCCAGAGGGAGUUCCCUCACACCUGUGAUCAGGGCCCCAUCCAUUUGGCUAAAGACACGCGAGGAGACUGACCAGAGUGCAUUGGAAGGCAGCAAGUCUUGGGGCUGCUCUGCUCUUGUCCCUCCAUGCCCCCUGUGGUGCCCAGCUGCAAAGGUGUUUCCCAAGCAGGCAUGGGUCCACUCCACUUGAGAAAGCCAUCCAAUUCUCGCUGCAGCACUUCCCUUUGUAUUAGGGGUAUGAGUCUGUAUUAAUAAAGACAUACCCAAGACUGGGUAAUUUAUAAAGGAAAGAGGCUUAAUUGCUCACAGUUCAGCAUGGCUGGGGAGGCCUCAGGAAACUUACAAUCAUGGUGGAAGGAGAAGUAAACAUGUCCUUCACAUGGCAGCAGCAAGGAGAAGUGCUGAGCAAAAAAGGGGAAAAGCCCCUUAUAAAACCAUCAGGUCUUGGCCCGGUGCGGUGGCUCACACCUGUAAUACCAGCACUUUGGGAGGCCGAGGUGGGCAGAUCACAAGGUCAGGAGAUCUAGACCAUCCUGGCUAACACGGUGAAACCUCGUCUCUACUAAAAAUACAAAAAAUUAGCCGGGCGCAGUGGCGGGCGUCUGUAGUCCCAGCUACUCAGGAGGCUGAGGCAGGAGAAUGGCGUGAACCCGGGAGGCGGAGCUUGCAGUGAGCCGAGAUCGCGCCACUGCACUCCAGCCUGGGUGACAGCCAGACUCUGUCUCAAAAAAACACAAAAACAAAAAACAAAAAACAAAAAACCAUCAGGUCUUGUGAGAACUCACUCCCUGUCACGAGAACAGCAGCAUGGGGGUAACGGCUCCCAUGAUUCAAUUACCUCCCACCAGGUCCUUCCUAUGACACGUGGGUAUUAUGGGAACUAGAAUUCAAGAUGAGAUUUGGGUGAUGACACAGCCAAACCAUAUCAGGGUCUGUAUUAUACUCAUUCUGGAAUAAUUUACACUAACAAUUAGAAUCACUUGGUGAACUUCAGAAGAACACUCUUGCUUUUUAAAAAACCUUCCUUUUCUCUUUCUCCUUUGCAGAUUCAGCUUAUCUAUGGCGAGCAUGGGUAUCACUUUUCAUUUUGGUAAAGCUUCCUGGGGUAUCCCUAUGUGCAGCCACAGUUAAAAAGGAUUUUUUAAGGGAAUAGUUUCAAAUAUGGAGAUCCUAUUUCUGUAUGAAAGUAGCAGCAGCAAGGCAACCGUCUCCUCCGGAGCAACAUGUCAGAGGCCCAGGUGCCCUGGCCAUCAUCGCUGCCCCAGGUUUCCCAGUGCCAC
rnacentral:lncRNA from 1 species